ensembl:lncRNA
AAGGACAUUACAUCAAAGUUGGAUCCGCCUGUAUUGUGGUUUUCCACUUUAAUUUUGAGUGUGACUCCAAAUCCAGACCUCCAUGGGUUGAUAAAUUUGAUUUCCAUUGAUCAUUUUUGUGAUUUUGUUGUCAGCACAUUCAACUAUGUAAAGAAAAAAAGUAUUUAAUAAGAAUAUUUCAUUCAGAUCUAGGAUGUGUUAUUUAGUGUUCCCUUGAUUUUUUUGAGCAGUGUAUUUUUUUUAAUUCACAUUUUUCAAGGGGUGCUGUAGCACCCUCAGCACCCCUACUUCCCACUGCUAUGGGUAGGGGUUAAGGUUAGGGACAUCCCAAGGAGGCAGGAUUGCACUGACCAUACAUUUGUCUUUCCAACUAUUCAGCCAAGUUUAUCACACAUGCUGCUACAUCAGCCUGGCCUUUCCUGCCUUUAGGUUUCCGUGUUUACUUUUAUCAUUGGAUCACAUUUUGUCAUUCUCUGACUACUUACUGGCUGCAGAGAAAAUCGAUCAAAACAAAAGCAAGCUAACCUAAAUAUGGCACCAAAUAAUCAGACAAUUAGAAACUACUCAGGUCCUAGAGGUAUUUAAAAAGGUACUUUCAACGUGAGUGAAUUUGCUAUGAUAUUACUUGCCACUGUUUUUGCUGUUUCCGAAAACUAGCUAACCAUGUCUGAUCUGAACAAUCACCCAAGACUAUAGUACGUGCCUAUUAACUAAUUCACCUGUUUCAUGAUAAAUAUGCCACUGCAGUGGAGCGACGAUCAACUGCAUGGGUUUUAUGAAAAUGAAGUGAAAACGAAUGUGGACCUCUCCAUUUCUACAAAACGGCUUUAAGAUGGUAAGGCUUUCCUAUGAAAAGGACAGCAACAGACCUAUGCAACUACAUCAACUUCAGCAUUCCAGAGCCAGAAAUUCAGCCUCAAGUUUCCCUCCCGCCCUCCUCGGAAUCAUUUAGCUACCUGUGAAACCUAAGACUGCAUGAAAGUGUUUGAUAAGAACACCACAAUGGUAGCCUCUGCCAUGUCCCAAACAACCGGAUGUUACAGUUUCUUUUAUGCCUGCUACGUUAUGUUACCACAACGGUAACAGGUAGGCCUCCUGAAAUCCAGAAGCACAUUCUAACACAGUUGAGAAUUAGUCUAACAAGACAAUUUGGUGUAAGGCUCAUUUAGUUGUGCAAUAUUCUGGCCCUGGAUUCACUAGUAGAGCCGAUAUACAAUGCAACUCUUAUUUGACGAGACAGCAGCCUAACAAUUUACUGAUUAUUUCAGGAUCAAGAUGAUGUGUCGAAGGAAGCUCUCUAAAGGACAAGAUCCUUUAAUCUCUGCAAUAUUAACAUGCUGCGCCCUCUCUCCACACAUCCCACCCCCCCAAGUCACUUCUGACUAACCCCUCAACUUCUUGAAUUACUGAAAGUGUAGUGUCGUGAGUUGACAAAAACGUAUGUCAAGGACACAUUUUUAUAUUUUGUUGACGUGUGACUCAGCAAUUAAUCAUUUCUCCACCUGCUCUUUAGUUUAUUAGUGAUUUAAGUAGUAGCAAUAACCAGUACGGGGCGCCAGUGUGCUGUUAACCACACACUGUUCUACUCAACAGUUGGAACCAUGAUACUGUAUAUAUAAGCCAGAUGUUUUGUGAGUAUGAUGUUUACUGCUCAUUUUGUUUUUCACUUUUGUAUAUUAUCUACUUCACUUGCUUUGGCAAUGUUAACAUAUGUUUCCUAUGCCAAUAAAGCCCCUUGAAUGAAUUGGUUUGUCAAACAACGUAUGUAUGUAAUACGUGUUUGUUUAAAAAAAACUUAAAAUCGACCUCAAGUCACCAUCACUCGAAAGCAGGAUGUCCACAAAAUAAUGACAAGACCAAAAAAAGUAUGCUUAUGGAUGUGUAUUUUAAUAAAAAUAAUUCUGUCAAAAUAAAACAGAAUACAAUAUUUCUUUAUCAUGUUUCCAGUACAUAGGUAUGUUUUUUAAAAUUAUAAUGUCUUUUUUAUAUUGUUUAAGGGUUUAAAAGUUUCAUGCUAAGUACAGGGUAACUCAUUUCACAAAUGCUAAACUCAAUAUGAAAUUUAAAUCAUAAUAGAAGUAUAUUGUGCACAGCUUGUUUUCAAUUCCUAAUUCCAUUACCUUCGCCUCUCCAUUUGAAGCACGGAUAGCUCCAAAGGCCAAUUUAAAACAGAAAAGGAAAACUGGGAGGUUGUUUGCUAGAGUAGGUGUAGGUGUGUCUAUAAAAGUCCCAGGAGAAGCUCAACAGAUUCCUCCCUUUCUAAACACACAUCCCUAUAUAUUAGUCAAGUUAAAAAUUCUACUGUAUAAUGAAUUCUCUUAAAAUGGAAAUAUACAUUUUGGGUGGCUAUUCUAUUGAGUUCAAAAAGCCAUUUGCUGUUUUUGAAAGAAACCAAGAGAUACAUGAUUUGCUAUAAUGUCAAGCUAUUAUCAAUACCUAUCUGCUGUCUGCUUCCAAUAUUGAAAGCCUAGGACUGGUUGUAUUCUGAAUGACCAUUAAACAGAAUAGUGAAAACCCAUGUGAACGGAUAGGGCCGCCUAGAGACUUAAUUAACUGAACAACAUGAGUUAAAAUAACUCAAAUUUGAUUCCAACAUGGGUUACGAUGUGUAUAGGUAUGCUUCAAAAGACAGUACGCCCCAGUAUGUCAGUUGACUCUCACAGGUUUAGGAUAAGGUCAUGAGGCCCUUUCUUUUGCUUCCUACUGCAAUACAAAAGAUGACCCUCACAAGUAAGUGAAGGUAUUUGUUCUUGUUUUUCACAUAUUUUAGCAAGUAUAAGCCCAUGAUGCAGAUAGAUGUGCAAAUGUAAAGAUUGUGUAGAAAAAUAAUAAUAAU